rnacentral:lncRNA from 1 species
CCUAUUCACUCUGAUCUCCAAAGCCAUCAUUAGAAUUGUCAUUAUCAUUGUACCUGGUGUUGCAAGAUGAUCUAGACAAGAAAAAAUCUUCGAGGUGUAUUUUGUCAUCUUCCCAGACAGGUAUGCUCUCACCUACCUUAACCAAAUUGACAACCGAUGCUUUUCUAUUGGACCAUUCGAUCUUGGAGGCCUAUGCAUUGUAACGUGACCCAAACAUUUCACAAUUAAAUCACUAAUCAGAAUUUUUUGACUCCUAUCUCGGUCAUGGUGGGUGAAAUAUUCUCCUCUGCCCAUCCAUCCAGAUCACAUACACCCACCUUCCUGUAAAUGUUUCUAUUGGACCGAUCGAUCUUGGAGGCCUAUUCACUGCACCGUGACCCAAACAUUUCCCAAUUAAAUCACCAAUCAGAAUCAUUUGACUCCUAUCUCGGUCAUGGUGGGUGAAAUAUUCUCCUCUGCCCAUCCAUCC